UUGAGCAAUGCGCAUGUGCGGG
rnacentral:miRNA from 1 species